GCAUGUUAUAGUACACCUAAGCGGACUUAAAAUCCGCGGCCUGUUGGCGUGGGGGUUCGAGUCCCCCGGCGGGCA
rnacentral:tRNA from 1 species